rnacentral:tRNA from 1 species
GCCUUGGUGGCGGAAUUGGUAGACGCGCGGGACUUAAAAUCCCGUGGGGUCAAACCCGUGCCGGUUCGACUCCGGCCCGAGGCACCA